UUUCUGAGAUAAGCUGCUAAGAGCUUCCUCUGUCCCUGGAAGAAACCAAUAGCUGGCUAGCUCUAAGAAUUGAAAACCUAUUAAACCAGUUAGGAGCUAAAUCCACCUCUGCGAGAUUUUAAAGACGGGAAUCCAUGCAGCAACAACUACCAAAUUCUGCCCUAGCUGAACUGGAAGCACUGAAAGCUACAACUACUGGAUAUUGGUAUGUGACGUGUCACAGAACAUUCUGUUUUGUAAGGGAUCCACAAGGGUCAUGGAGUCCAGCUCUGAAGUGAUGGCCUCUUUGGGGAUCAAAUAUACAGCCUUGGCCUUAUUAGUACCAUGCUCUGACCAGCUGAGCUAAUCUCAGCAGCACAGGUAGUAGGGUCCUUCCCUUCUUGUAUAUUUCUUGACCAGAUUGACUGGUUGAUACCUCCGUAAUUUCAGACUGCUGGAAAAUCGACCUGAGAUGCUGAAGAAAAAAAAAGCUAAUGAGAGAUGAACUGUUGGAUUUACUGUACCUUUCUUAAUGUUUAAAUUGGGAAUAUGUCCUGGCUGUGUCCCAUCCUAACCUCCCUUGUAUCCCCAGUCUCCUUGACAUUGUUCCAGGACGAAAAGCAGGAAAGGCCUUGGUGCUGUGCAAGCCCUGUGCAACAAUAACAAAGAUAUUAUCAGCCUUGUGUUCAGCAUAUCAAAAGAUGAAAGUUGCAUAUUUUAGAUAGAUAGAUAUUUAGAUCUCCUUCACACAUUUUGUCUUGAAAUAAAGCAACAGCUGGCAUUUUUUUAAUGCAUACUGACAAGCAAAGCAGCAUGACCAAAUAGGUGACUCAUAGACCAGCUCUAACUUGUGUUUCAGCCCAUCUCUUCUGGCUGAGAGACAGAUUGCACCUCCACAGCAAGGAAACAGUACAUUCAGCAGCUGGAUGAGCCUUGGAAGACAGGGAAUUCAGUGUGACUUAAGAAUACAUGCAACAGUGUAACGCUUAGAUGCAAACAAAAGAGCAAGAUGAAAAAUGGCACCAAACUGUAACCUGCUGCUGGGCAAGUGAAGAUGUUCCUUUCUUAUCGGGAAUAAUCCUGCAAGAAGACAGCACUCUGGGAGGCUUCUGAUGGAAAAAUAAAUGCCUGGUUGCAAGUGAAUGCAAAGGAUGCUGCUUCUGAGAAGAAAGAGGAGCCUUCAUUGAGGUUUUUUUUGAAUAGGGAAACCUUAAAACCAUAAGAACAGAACACAAAACUUGAGGAAAAGAAGACACUAUGGAUAAAGAAGAUUUUUAUAAUGGGUUAUUUUAUUCCCUAUUCAUUUAUUUUUUGUGUUUUAAUGAAAUACAUAUGGAGAGAUUGGAAGCAUUUUGAUAUUCUUUAGAUUUCUAUCUUUAAAUAAGUAGGAGAGUUUCACCAAAAGCCUCUUCCUCCUCUGCAGUCCCCUGACAUAAUCUUCCUGCACACUGUAUGCAAAUAAUAAAAGUGCAAUUUUUAAUUUAGCUAGUAAGUGAAAGCUGCACCUGUUACAAAAUGGUCAGUUGCAAAACUAAAUUUCCCAAAAGACAAAAACACUACAGUUAAAAGCCCUAGCUUCCAGCUGUCUCUCAAAGACAGAGAAUACCACAACAUGAAAGAAGAUCCCAAGGUAGGACAGUAUCCUGUGUCACAACAACAACAAAAAAAUAAAAAAUAAAAAAAAUAAAAAAAUUACUGUUCAAACUAUUUGUCAAAUCGGAGUUUCACACGUUGAUUGUAGUUGUUAUUGACGCUUAGAUAGUUAAUGCGACAUUGUAUGUAGCUUGAAAUACUUCAAGUAAAUAAAAUUGCUUGAUGGUUAGAAUCCUGAGCUUCAACAAACAUGUAUCACUUAGAACUGUGGUUCAAUAUACCAUUCACUAUCCAUCUAGCAUAUUUUCUUCUGAAGACAAGUGGAAAUGGACUGGCCAAAUGAAUGAUGGUUCUUGUCAAGAUUUUGCCUUAGUCAGUACAAUCACUGGACAAAAUAUAGAAAUAAUUUAUUGUUUCAGAAGCUGAAGCCCAUGUUCCCCAUUCCGAGACUGUGCCAACCAGGAAGACCAGAGAUAUAGUCUACAUGUUCUCCCUAUAAAUAUUCUAUUUCCUAUACAAGUGGUGCAGUUGUAAUGGAGCAGGUGAAUACUGCAAAGAGAAAACUCCCCUUUGGCCUGAUUACAGCCUGGCAUUUUCCUUGGUGGUGAAAGAUAUGGCCUUGAAUGUCCUUGGGCCAGUAUACUCACUGAAUAUCCUUGGGCACAAGAUACUCACCUCUGACUAAGUUCUCUAGCUGCUGUGUAUGUAGUGCCCUUUUCUUCAUAUCUGCUAUAAAAUAAAGCAACUAUCUAAAACUUUAAUAAAUAAAAAAUGACAAAAGCCUGAUCCAAAGGCUGUGUUUUCAGUGUCAGGAGAGCACUGGCAAAGAAAUUUUUAGUUAUGGCUUGGAGGUGUGCAUGAGGUAUAAGCUGAUCUAGACUGUAAAGGGUAUCCUCAAAAGCACAAAAAUUGAAGGGGUGGAUUUUUAUUUGAAAGGUUGUGAUGUAUUUUAUCUAUUAAAUGUUGUAUAAAAUGCUUUUAUAUACCUUAAGUUGGUACCUCCAAUGCUACACAAGUUCAUGGACCAUUUUGGGGGUGAUCUGAAUUUAAAUGCAAGUAUUUCAAUUUUGCCUAAGUUUUGUGUACUUCAGUCACGUAAUGAGUUGUACCUUGAAGCUCUAUUAAAUCUAUUUUAGCUUUAAAUUCAGAAAGCUCUACAGUUAUCAGCUGUUCAUUUUCAGGCAAGAGACAAUCUCAGAAUUCUGUACUGAUUUUGAUACUUCAGUUUCUAGAGCAUGAAUCAGUAUUUCUGAAGUACAAACCCUGUUUAAUUGAAACAGACACUUUGCAUUACCUCUAUAGGUCUUUGCCAUGAGGUUUUUCUCUGAACACCCUGCCAUUUUUCCUGUUAUUUUUCUGAAGAGCCCCCCAUAUAAAAUGCAGUUUAACUUGAUACUCAAACCAGUUUUUCAGUCGGAAGACUGCUAAUAGAGAAGUAAUAGGGCAGAAACAUGAGGUAUUAUUUUAUCAAUGUUUUCUGAACUAUAUUUACUGUACUUAAUUUCAAACUGGGCUAGUGAUGAUUUCCAGAAAAUGGGGCAUUUGUACCAAUUAACUUUUAAGAGUAUGCUCUCUUCUUCUGGAAUAGAAUUGGAUUAUUGCUAUUAGAUGCUAAUUCUGCAGCUCCCUCAAGGUGCUAAGAUCUGCAUACCAUCCACAUGUUCUGUUGUGGUCCUAAAACUGAUGACAGACCCUCCAAAGUGUGGCUACUGCAUAACUUCUGUUUUUUCUUACCUUUGGCAAACCACUAUAUAGUAAGAUUUUUUUACGGAUUCAAGUCUGCAGUCUGCCAUUUCUCUUUUGUCAAGUAUGUAAAUGGGAUAUUUACAAGUAGGAAGAGAGGAGUGACAAUCUGAUGAACUCCUACUCCUUAUUAGAUGGCUUUAAGGAUAGAUUAUUUGAAGACUUUCUAAAGAUUUUCAAAUUGCUUCACUGAAUUACUGUCAAUACACCUGUGCAAUGAGUUCACUAAAGAGAAUUCUCACAAUACUAACAAUGCUGUUAGAAAGGAGACAUUUGACUAAAAGGUAAUGUGAUUGCCAAUUUCUUUAAUGGGCAUCCUUAAUGAAUUUUAUCAGAAGACUGAUUCACAUAGAACAUGCGCAAUUAGCUGUGCCCACAUUUAAUACACCACAAUUGCCACAUUAGCCUUGGUUUCAUUACUUCUUAGAAGUGCUUUUCUUCUAAAGUGUAUUGUACAGUAAUAUAAUACCCUAAGCAUUAUAUACAGAUAAAGGUUCACUUUUUAAUUGCUUAUGUUCCCCAAAUUAUGAUACACAUAAAAAAAAUCAGCAGAAAAAAUAAGAGAAUUAAGAUUCCUUUGAAACUCGGUUUGAAGCAAACAUACAAACAUGUGAUUUCUUGUCCUUGGACAAUGAACAACAAAAUUCAGUAGACUUUGUAAUUAAAACCUGUUGUAAUAAAACACCAGUGGAAAUCUAUAUCAGGCUAAGGUUGUGACACAUUGUUCUGUUACAUAUAUGUAUAUAUAUAUAUAUACAUUCAUAUAUAUAUAUAUAUUUUUCUUAAGCAUAUUGACACUGUCUUACAUAGGACUAUGUUCAAAAACACAGCAGACUUUGGACUUUGUUCCAAGUCAAACAAAUUAUUUUUUUGUUAGAAAGAGUUCUUACAAAUUCCUUUUAUUUUUUUUUUUUGUUUCUGCCUUUCACCUUCUGUUGAGACUUAAUAUAUCAAUUUAAUUCUGAAAUCAGGUUGAGCAUUUCAGCUUUCUCUAUCAGGGAAAACAGGCAUAUGCAUCUAUCUCUUAUUAGCACUAGAUAAGAGCUGCUAGCCUCUUAUGUCACACAAACAUGCCACAUUCUCUCUAGUUCUGAGCAGGCUUUAGCCUGCAAUGUCACUGUAAUUGUAUGUGGAUAAUCUUUGCUGAGUUGUGCAGGGAACUGCACCUUGGCACUUUGCAUCUGUCACACAAGCUGAACUCUUAAUACCUAUGUACUCUCUACAGGCAGUUGAAGUAUGAAGGCUAUUUGUCUAGAUAUAUUGAGUAGAGAGACUAUUUGAAAGUCUGAGACUAUUUGUUCCAUUAUUUUAAUCAACUCAAAUUUAUGAGAUGAUUGAUUUUUCCAGACUGGAACAGUGUUUUGCCUGUUUCAAGUAGGAGGUGGCAUGAACUUACCUGAAUAUGGUAACAGACAGAUAUUGCAGAGAAUUAAAACGGAAGCUACUGAAAAAUACCAAGUUAUUAAAAUCAAAACUUUAUAUUUUUUUUUCCUGUGCAAUCAUGAAUAAGUAUCUUGAGAACAUUUCUUUUUUCAAAGAUUCAGAAUUUCCACAACAGUAUUUAAUCUUUUCACAACGUUGCUUCUCCUUGAGCAGAGCAAAUAGCAAAACAAAAAAAGUUUGAAGAAAUACCUGAUAACUCAGCUAUGGAUCAUAUUGUUAAAAUGGUCUCAAUGUAGCUACUCUGAGUUAUUAUGACAUCCUAAAGUCAAGUGAGAAGACUUGACUUUGGAGGUCAUUUGAUUCCAAUCUCCUGCUCAAGCAGGUCCAUUCAGGACCAUGCACAUAUGGCUCUGGAAGAUCUCUGAGAACCUCCAAGUUUGAGAAUCCAUCUCUGGGCAACUUCUACAAGUUACUGCCCACUCUCACAGUAAAAAAGUCUUUCCUGAUGUUCUGGAGAAAAAUCCUGUGUUUAGCUUAUGCCACUGCUAUUGCCUGUCACUGGACACAGCAAAAAAAAGCCUCAUGAGCUUUGACUAGUUAAAAGAUCAAAAUCAGACCAUGAGUACAUAGACAAACAGGAGCACACAGGAACAAUAUUUAGUUUUCUAAAGGAAUAAUAACCAAAAGAGUUUUGAUAACUGAAUUUUAGAAGAAUAAACAACCUCUUUUGCAGGAAAAGGAGAAUAAAGAAUUCUGUAUUUGUCAAGUAUGAUGCACAGGUUGUCAUUGCAGGCUUAGUGAACUACAAACAAAAAAUUACAUGUGAGAAUAUGUUUUUUAAAAAUAUAUUUGUAAAGAACAUGAUUCUGUCAAGGUGAAUGUGGUGGAUUUUACUGCAUGCUAGACUUGAAACAGUAAAAUGUCCCCCUGAAUUCUAAUAAAAGAGUGUCUGCUUGAGAUUGCUGAUGACAAAAACAUAACCUUCCCUCCCACAAAAAAAAAAAAAA